rnacentral:rRNA from 1 species
GCAAGUCGAACGACUUAACCAUUAGUUUACUAUUGGAGCGGUUAGUGGCGGACUGGUGAGUAACACGUAAGCAACCUGCCUAUCAGAGGGGAACAACAGUUAGAAAUGACUGCUAAUACCGCAUAUGCCUUAGAAUCACAUGGUUCAAAAGGGAAAGGAGCAAUCCGCUGAUAGAUGGGCUUGCGUCUGAUUAGCUAGUUGGUGGGGUAAUGGCCUACCAAGGCAACGAUCAGUAGCCGAACUGAGAGGUUGAACGGCCACAUUGGGACUGAGAUACGGCCCAGACUCCUACGGGAGGCAGCAGUCGGGAAUAUUGCGCAAUGGAGGAAACUCUGACGCAGUGACGCCGCGUGCAGGAAGAAGGUUUUCGGAUUGUAAACUGCUUUAGACAGGGAAGAACAAAGACAGUACCUGUAGAAUAAGCUCCGGCUAACUACGUGCCAGCAGCCGCGGUAAUACGUAGGGAGCGAGCGUUAUCCGGAUUUAUUGGGUGUAAAGGGUGCGUAGACGGGAAGUCAAGUUAGUUGUGAAAUCCCUCGGCUUAACUGAGGAACUGCAACUAAAACUGAUUUUCUUGAGUACUGGAGAGGAAAGUGGAAUUCCUAGUGUAGCGGUGAAAUGCGUAGAUAUUAGGAGGAACACCGGUGGCGAAGGCGACUUUCUGGACAGAAACU